AAAAAACUGCAAAGGGAUUGUCUCCGUUAAUGAGAUCAACAAAUGAAAUAAGGAUUACAAAUUUUCCUACGAGGAAGAAAUGUUGACGUUCCUUUUGGGUUGCAGUCGAGGAAUUUGAGUUCAUGUCAAGGUUAUUUACGUCUCACAAAUGAAGGGUGCCUUAAUCAAAAACAUCCAAUUUUCUUCAAAAAGGUGAGAAACACAAACUUAACAAUCCUAUUUUGUUAUUACUAAAUUCAACAAUGAUCUACAUUCUAUUUAUCAUUAUUUGUAUGUAUGAGGACUUAGAAAAGUCCCUAGCAAAGGCAAGAAUUGGAAGUCGAGAUGGAGUAUCAAAUCUUAUUGACACGGAGACACUUAUAGAGUCAUUCGUUUUUCUUUUAGUUGAUUAGUUUUAUUUUAUUUUAUUUUAAAAUAAUCACAGAAUGGGAGUGUAUUUAUUGUUAUAAAUUAAACAAAGACAGUGUAAGGGAGAAUUCUUACUCCUAACUCAUGCCCUUGUCACACUUCUUGUAAUGUUUGAAUGUUAUAGAACUUCGUAUUCAAUAU
rnacentral:lncRNA from 1 species